CACGGGGGGAGCAAGCGUUGUUCGGAAUCACUGGGCGUAAAGGGCGUGUAGGCGGCCAGGCAAGUGAGAUGUGAAAUGCCCCGGCUCACCCGGGGACCGGCAUCUCAUACUGCUUGGCUUGAGUACGGGAGAGGAUGUGGGAAUUCCUGGUGUAGCGGUGAAAUGCGUAGAUAUCAGGAGGAACACCGGUGGCGAAGGCGAACAUCUGGCCCGAUACUGACGCUGAGGCACGAAAGCGUGGGGAGCAAACAGG
rnacentral:rRNA from 1 species